rnacentral:rRNA from 1 species
CAGCCGUAAACAAUGUGCGUUAGGUGUGUCGGUAACCACGCGUUACUGAUGCGCCGAAGAGAAAUCGUGAAACGCACCACCUGGGAAGUACGGUCGCAAGGCUGAAACUUAAAGGAAUUGGCGGGGGAGCACCACAACAGGUGGAGCCUGCGGUUUAAUUGGAUUCAACACCGUAAACUCACCAGGGAAGACUGUUACAUGAAGGCCGAGAUGAAGACUCUGCUAGAUUUUCAGAGAGGUGGUGCAUGGCGUCAGUGACU